rnacentral:rRNA from 1 species
AUGAGCAGCUCCUCUUUUGUUAUCCAUGGAAUUAAUGACGUCGCAACGUUGGAGAAUAUCGUGUGCCGAGAGGCGUUAUCUCUCGCUGAGGAUUUGAUGAUUCACAACUUCAUUAUUGCAUCAGAUACUAAGCAAGUAGUGUCUGACAUUGCGAGAGGAAGCAAUGGAGCUUAUGGUAGUAUUAUCACUGAAAUCAAGCGUAGGGCGGCCACCUUCAAUUGCAUCUCCACUUUUGAAGUGAGGGCAGAGCGUUCAUGGCUGCAUCCGUCCCAAUCUCCGGUGGGCAAAAAAGAGAAAAAGGCAAACAAAAAAAGUAGGAAGAGACCACAGCACCACAAGCGCAGUAGCAGCAGUAGCAGCUGGUGCUUGACGGGCUUCUCCAUGUCUCCGCGCCAGUCCAAGCCGGUUCACAUGCAUUUGUUCUCUUCCAUUGUAGCCUCCCCUCUAGCCUCCCUCCCCCCUCCCCCAACCUCAUCCCCAUUGCUUGCUAGCUAG